UAGAUAUAGGUAAUGAGAACCAUAUUGGUGUCCUAGUAAUAAAUUUAUGCCACAAUAGUCCCUAAAUGUUAGAAUAAAAAAUGUAGUGUGAAAUAUGAUAGUGUGAUGGCCUCGUGUUGUUCGCACAAUGUAUGCUUGUGAAAAAAUGUUGUAUUUAAUAAAACUGAGAAUAAAAGAUAAAAAACUCACUUGUAUAUGUAUAAAUGUGAACCUAAGAAAUAUAAGUGUAGGUGUAGACUUGUGGAACAUAAAAUUGGAGAUGCGUGUGUGAAAUUGUAACGGAAAAUAUCCUGUUCUGUGGUGUAAAAAAUUUGAUCAGACCCAAAGAGUAUGAUCGCGCUGUACUAAAAAGCUUGUAUGGAGGCAUGUAAAAUAUAUAAAGCGAGAGGAGAUAGUCAUGUGUGUAAAAUUCAGUAUCCCUGUACGCGGUGUUUCGUCCUUCAUGGACUCGUCAGCAGGGAUUGGGGUUGGCAAUUGUGUGAGAAAGACAGAAUAUAGAAGCCGAUUUGGAAUAAAGUGAAAAAACAUAAAAAUUAGCAAUAUGUGCAUAUGACUAUUGUAUAACGUAAAAUGUAAAUUGUCUUACCAAAAUCGUUGUUGAGUUCGGUCAAUAAUUAUUACUAUUAGGUACAGGCCUUCGAGACUGAUGUAGUAAAGAUAUGGGGAAAAGAAUCAAAUCUGAAAAGAAGGGGUGGGGGGGGGGGAAGAAUCAAAGUUCAUUGAAGAAUAUACACCCCUGGAUAAAAGAUAAAAUUAAGUUUGAAUUUUAUACAUUUUAUCGGACCCAACCAGGAAAAGCUGCGAAAAUGCAACUAUAUAGGUCCUCUGGCAGGAAUCGAAGCUGCGGCUCUGCGAUUCUGGUGCAGCAUUCUGACCAACUGAGCUACAGAGUCCAGUUGUCGAGCUCUAUAGGUGAUGCCAAUGUAAGGUGUAUGGAUAACAUCAGGAUUUUGGGUAUCUAAUACAUGCAUCCUGAUCUAUAAAUACUCUAUCAAACUCAGUAUUUCCUAUGAAUUUCUUACAGUGUCCCAAUACGUUCAAGAAAAGUUGCACUUUCGACCAAGAAUGUAACACUUCAUGUCCAGGAAUGAUUUGUGAAGACAACGAAUGUGUGGAUCAAAAACGCAUCGUCACAUGAAUCGUGUUAACGAAUACUUAGCUAUGUAUAGAAUGAUGUAUUAUGUAUUUAAUGCUCACAGUUUACUUCAGUAAGACGGAUAGUACCACGAUAUAGUUGUGUACUAACUAUGGACUACUGCACUGUACAGUACUGACUGUAUGAAAAUAAAUGUUAUUACUCUGUUUCAAUAAAUCAUACGAUAUUAUCCUAUAGUAUAACACUCCGGUUUAGACAUAAUAUUCAACUGAGUGACGUCAUAAAGUUAAAUAUGAA